rnacentral:rRNA from 1 species
UUGCCAGACUCCUACGGGAGGCAGCAGUGGGGAAUAUUGCACAAUGGGGGAAACCCUGAUGCAGCGACGCCGCGUGAGUGAAGAAGCGCCUCGGCGCGUAAAGCUCUGUCAGCAGGAACGAUAAUGACGGUACCUGAAGAAGAAGCCCCGGCUAACUACGUGCCAGCAGCCGCGGUAAUACGUAGGGGGCAAGCGUUAUCCGGAUUUACUGGGUGUAAAGGGAGCGUAGACGGCGGGGCAAGUCUGGAGUGAAAGGCCGGGGCCCAACCCCGGGACUGCUCUGGAAACUGUCCGGCUGGAGUGCAGGAGAGGUAAGUGGAAUUCCUAGUGUAGCGGUGAAAUGCGUAGAUAUUAGGAGGAACACCAGUGGCGAAGGCGGCUUACUGGACUGUAACUGACGUUGAGGCUCGAAAGCGUGGGGAGCAAACAGGAUUAGAUACCCUAGUAU